AACAGAUGUGGAGUUGGCUGGACU
rnacentral:piRNA from 1 species